rnacentral:rRNA from 1 species
AUUGCAUGCUAGCGGUAUGCUUUACACAUGCAAGUCGAACGAUUGGCGGACGGGUGAGUAAUAUAUCGGAACGUGCUCAGUAGCGGGGGAUUACUACUCGAAAGAGUGGCUACUACCGCAUAUUAUUGGAGCGGCCGAUAUCGGAUUAGCUAGUUGGUGGGGUAAAGGCUCACCAAGGCAACGAUCGGUAGCUGGUUUGAGAGGACGACCAGCCGCACUGGGACUGAUACACGGCCCAAACUCCUACGGGAGGCGGCAGUGGGGAAGUUUGGGUAAUGGGGGACACCCUGAUCCAGCCAGACCGUGUGUAUGAGAAGGCCUGCGGGUUGGAAAGUACUUUGGGCAGAGAAGCGGGAUCGGCAGAAUAAGCACCGGCUAACGACGUGCCAGCCGCCGAGUAAUAC